UGGUGCACUGCGGCGGGCGCGCGUAGGGAGCGUGGCUGGUACUCGCGCGGUCGCUGCUGCCGCUCGGUUCGAAGUUGUGGCCGGGCGCGAUGAGGCGCUGAGCAGCCGCCGCCGCGCCUGAGCACGCCGCCGCCACCGCUGCCCUCCCCCGGCUCCCGCCGCCGGGGCUCGCUGCCGCCUCCCGGCCCCUCUCUACGGCCGUUCCCGCCGCUGCCGCCAUGUCUGCGGGCUUCUCCUUCGGCGCGGGGACUCUGGGCUCCGCGGCGGCCGCCGCCGCCGGGACAGGAGGAGGAGGCGGGGGCGGGGGCUUUUCCUUCGGAGCCGCCACGCCGAGCUCAACAGGAGGACUUAAUUUUGGAACUCUGGGCUCUUCCACUGCUACAGCAACUACAUCAGCUCCUUCAGUGGGCUUCGGGAGUAGCCUUUUUGGAUCAAAAUCAACCACUGGCUUUACACUAGGAGGCACCAGUACAGCAGGAACAGCAACAACUAUUGCUGCAGGACUGACACUAGGUACGCCUGCCACCACAUCAGCAGCUACCACAGGCUUUAGUUUAGGUUUCAACAAACCUGCAGGUUCGGCCACACCAUUUGCUUUACCUGUUACUUCUACCUCAGCGGGUGGCCUGUCAUUAUCGUCUGCUCUUACAUCGACUCCUGCAGCAGGAACUACUGGCUUUACAUUAAAUUUGGGUGGUACAACUGCUCCAACUACAACUGCCUCCACAGGCCUUUCCUUAGGAGGAGCCUUAGCGGGUUUAGGAGGUUCACUCUUCCAGAAUACAAGCACAGCAGCAACAGGGCUUGGGCAGAAUGCUUUGGGUUUGACUCUGGGUACAACUGCGACUCCUUCAACUACUGCCAAUGAAGGUCUUGGUGGCAUUGAUUUUAGUAGUUCUUCAGACAAAAAGAGUGACAAAACAGGCACAAGACCAGAAGAUAGCAAAGCACUAAAGGACGAAAAUCUACCUCCAGUAAUCUGUCAAGAUGUAGAAAAUCUACAGAAAUUUGUGAAAGAACAAAAACAAGUUCAGGAAGAAAUUAGUAGAAUGUCCUCUAAAGCAAUGCUUAAAGUACAAGAAGACAUUAAAGCUUUGAAACAACUUCUGUCUGUAGUUGCCAGUGGAUUACAGAGAAACACUCUUAAUAUUGACAAGCUGAAAGUGGAAACUGCACAGGAGCUAAAGAAUGCAGAAAUAGCUUUACGAACACAGAAAACUCCUCCUGGUCUCCAGCAUGAAAAUACAGCCCCAGCAGACUACUUCAGAAUCUUGGUUGAACAGUUUGAAGUACAGCUGCAGCAAUACAGGCAACAAAUAGAAGAACUGGAAAAUCAUCUUGCUACUCAAGCAAAUAAUUCACACAUAACUCCACAAGAUUUGUCUAUGGCAAUGCAGAAAAUCUAUCAAACAUUUGUAGCUUUAGCUGCACAACUUCAAUCAAUACAUGAAAAUGUAAAGAUGCUCAAAGACCAAUACCUUGGCUACAGGAAAACCUUUCUGGGAGAUGCCAUGGAUGUGUUUGAGGCAAGACGAACAGAAGCUAAGAAGUGGCAGAGCGCGCCACGUGUUACCACUGGACCGACCCCUUUCAGCAACAUACCAAAUGCAGCAGCCGUUGCGAUGGCUGCAACACUUACUCAGCAGCAACAGCCUGCUACAGGUCUGAGUGCAUUCAAGUUAUAGAUUAUUAGUGUUACAACAGUAGUAAAUUUGUGUAAAAUUUUCUAUGAAGUCUUCCUUUGUGUUAGACUAAAUCUAAACGUUGUGAUGAGCAAAGUUACUGAUACAUAGCCACUAGAAAAAUGCAGGGUAGACUUAGCAAUAAUUAUACAGCAGAUACUUAAUCUUGUGAAUUUACUUGUAUUAGUGAUAUUUACUGUAUUGUUCUAACUUACCCCUUGAAUGUGAGUCUUCACUCUUCAGUAACAUCUCUGAAUAUACAUAAUAUAGCCUCUUUCCAGAAUUGUAUGGUUAUAGUAAAUUAUUUCAAAAUGGUGAGGAGAGAAUAUCUAAAUGCAUAUUACCUUUUUCUUAUGUAAAAUUAAUAAUGCAUUUUUAUAUAGCACUUUGGAACUGUAAAAUGAAAAAUGCUGUAGAACAGGAAGGAUAGUGGAGCAAACAUCUCUAGAAUAGGAAGACAGAUGCCUGACUUUUUAUUCUAUAGCUAACUCCUUUGUCAGGGUGAUGUUGGAGCAGUUUUUGCUGACCAUUCUGCUGUUGCAAAUAAAUAUUAGAGAAAGUAGAGUGGAGCAGUGGUUCUGUUUGUGCAUGUGUAUAAGAGGAAGACCAAAACAGAGAAAACACAUCACCCACUGCUAAUGCAGAAUGGAUACGUAUGGCAAAGGAGAUAACUUAAGGCACCUUAGUUGACAUUGUUAUACUAACCAACGCUUUUCAGAGAGCGAUUCCUGAAUGUAGAGAAUUGAAUUGAUAUUUAAUCAUUUAACAGAAAUAAGAUAAUUUCCAUUUGAUUUUACUUGAACAUGGAUAUUCACUAAAUUAUUAAAAUCAUAGGUGACUUCAUUCUGCCGUCUACUUUCUAAAAUGUUUUUUAUCAUAGGUGUGCUGGAAGUCAUAUUAGCAUUUUUUUCCAUCUCUUGUUUUAUAGCAGCAGUCAUAUUUUGAAUGGUUUUAAUGAAGAGACCAUGCAGCAACCACCCUAAGUUUAACAAAUUAUUAGACUGUCCUUGUCUUCUCUGUAAAAGGAAAAUACAAUGUGCUUCCUGCCCUGGUCCUUCUAAACAGCAAGGAGACGGGUUUAAAAGACAAAUAUGCCAAAAUAUUUUUAAUACUACAAAAAAAUUUAGUCUUGAUGAAAUGUUUUCUAAAUUUCCGUCAUAGACCAGAGUCUUCCUGUUGCUGCUAUGUUAAUCUAUGAAAAUUUUGUAGAAGUGACAUCUGCAAGAGUCUGACUUCUAAACAGAAAACAUAAGAUAAUGUAACGUCAUGCUUCAGGGUUUUUAAUACAGAUAGAAGCGUGGCUUGUGCAGCUUAAUGUUGCCAAAGUAGUUCCUUCUCCCUUCAUCUUUUUCCCUGUCUCAUGUUUGGUUGUUUUUCCUAAAUACUCUCCAUGGUCAUUACAGGAUUAUUUGUAUAUGAAAGUCAUAUAUUUGGAAUGUCACAUUUAAAGUUAUACAUGUAAUCUUCAUGAAUUGGGGUGAGUGGUUUGAAUUUCCUCUUCAUUAGUCCAGAUUCAAGAGAACUUCAGUAGAUUGAUGUUUUGAGUGGCACUUCAAGAGUACUUAAAACUCCUAGAAAAUAGGGUUAGAUGGAUCUUGAAGUCAUUGUUUCUGUUCCUCUAGCUCAAAAGCAGGAUUAGUCAGGCCUGAACUGUUUCAGAGUUACCUGAAAGCCUUAAAAGCUUGCUAGAAAGGAAAAUUUCACAGCUUUCCUAAAUGACUGAUCUCAGUGCUUGACUUUUUCCUCACAACUUACAUGAAACUUCUUAGCUUCAGAUUAAGGCUGCCACUUUUUAUCUUACUAUUAGUGGAAAAGAAGAAUCUAUUCUUUCAGUUUUGCAGGAAUCUUUAAAUAUUUAAAUACUGCCUCCUCUUUCCUUGAGUUUUCGGAUGGCCAUUUGCUGCAGCAAAAGUGCAAAUGUUUUAAUGUUUUAACCUUGUAUUAUGUUAUGACUGAUAAACUAUCUGCUAGAAGUUAGUCACGCAUAUUUGUUUGCAAGAUCUUGAUCCUGAAGAGUGGGAUAGAUGAAGAAUGGUAGGAGGUUAUGAGAGAAAAGACUAUGAAAUGAGGUGUAUGUAAUGAGGGGUAGGGAAUGUCUGUGUAAUACUUGACCUGCUGUUGCUGUUCUUGAAGAUAAGAAUAAAACAAAAAAAUUAAUCUGGGCUUUAAAGUUUUUGACUAAACUCUAAUAUACGGUACUCCAGUAUUGAGGGAUCAGGAUGGUUAGUCUCUUUUUAAAAAAAAAUCUGAUGUUUACAUGGUUAAGUCUAUUUCGUAAGAUUAAGUUAGAGUUAGUUACUGUUUUUUCUCUGAAAAAGUUAAAUAAUUUAUUUUAAAUUUGUGUUCAAAAGUCAAAAGUUUGGUAGCUACAUCAAAGCUGUGGGAUCAGGGAAUGUUUCCCCAGUUCCUGGGUGUAGAUAUGCACCCUAUUUAUGUUCUCUCUGUAUGCCAAGACAUGUCUGGCUUCUAUUGAAAUAAAUAAAGUCAGUGGAUCCUGGCCAUAUGGAAGAAAGGGAGCAAAGAUGCACUCCACUGGUCUCCUGGGAUAGAUAAUCAGGACACCAGGACUGUGGCGUGCACACUGGAGCACAAUUUUGUGCAGUUUUUUGAAGCUAGAUUUAUUAUAAUUAUGCUUAAGUCUUGCCUGCACACAGCCUUUCUCCCUAGUUUAGCACUUUGAUCUGAGCACAGCUUUAUUGGUAGCAGUGAGGCUGGUCAUGCUUUACGCAGUAGCAGCUAGAGUUUUAACCAUUGCCUCACCUUCACUUUCCCUGAGCAAUCUUGAACAGCGUGGAAGUUAAAAUGAUACUGACUAGUCUACCUAUUAUUAUUGAUGGGACUAAAGUAGAAGAUUUUAAAGGAAACUAAAGCCUGGUGAACUAAGAGCUGUGAAUGCGUGAGGCUGAAAUGGAUGUUUUUCUGGUGAGACGAAGUUGUCUUAAAGAAAUGCUUUUCUUCAGUCUCACCUUUCCUCCUCUAAAAAAAUGUACCCCCACAACAACUUAGUUACUCUCUCCUUAACUUGUGAAGUGCAGAGUUAGUCAAAGCAUUAUCAAGCUAUUAGCACACUGUUAUGCUUUGACUUAGUAUGAGAUUGAAGUGCUUGUGGGAAGGAAUACUGAAAUCUUCAUAGCACUUAAUUUUUAUUGUGUAAUUUUAUAUUAACCUUGGUUAAAAUUUGUCAGUGUGUUAUUGUGUCAGAAUCAGAUCUAAGUUGUGACAUUAAACUUGUUCACUGUUAGGACCAGCUGUGAUUUCAAAAAAAUUGCAGAAUGUCACUUUAGGAAAUCUGGCUGACCUGUCUGGGCUCGUUGUAGUGGGUCCUGUUCAUUAAACUGAAAUGCUCUAUAGGGCAAUUAUAUCUAUAUCAAGUUUUAAAAUGUUAAAAUACUUGUUAUAAUGAAUUUGCCUCAUACCUAUAAUAGCCAGAAGUGCCACUUUUUUUUGCUAGUACUUUUGGCAUUGAAGAAUCUUUAUUACUAGUUUUUUGCUAUUGAAAAUUAUGUUUACUUACAAAAACUGUAAGUAGUGAUGAUGCCUUCAGAACAUUAUGGUACAAAAUCAACAAAUAUCAUAUGCUGUUGCUCAAUGAAAAGCUUGUUAGCCUAAAGCAUAAGAUCCUAUUUUAUGUGAUCUGAGGUGUUUUAGAGUAAUGUUUUCUACUGGCUCUAAAAAAACGUUGCAUUUGGUAAAAAGCUUUGCCUGGAGGACUGUAUUGUUUUGUUUUAAGGUCUUCCACUAACAGUGCCUCCUACUGAGAUAGAAACCUGUGCACUUGAGAAGGAACUGGAUAUUUGUUUUGGGGUUCUUUUAGUUUAUUAGAUGACUGGCUUGUGUAGGGUUUUUUGUUUCUUUUAUUGAUAACAAUUUUCUUACUUUUAAAGAGCUGCUAGGUAGGUGUAUCAGUAUUUAAACUGGAUGUAAACAAGUUUAGUUUGAAAUUUAUGGGAAAACUUGUAAUUACAACAUCUGAUAUACUUUUUAAAUUGAAAAAAUAGUUUGGGUUUCCCAACUGUUCCCUGCUAAGCAGAGAGUGAAAGCUAACAACUUUAGUUGCUCUUAAAAUUUAGUUUAACACUACUUUGAGAAUACAGCUGUCAUUCAGCUUGGAUCACAUAAGAAUAUUGUGUUCCUAGCAAAAAUGUUACUUUUCAACAUACAGUGCCUUUCACUUGAUUCAAAAUGAUUUUCCAUUUAAAUCUUCAAAUACUGAAGGGAUUUUAAAAGCUAGAAAUGUUUACAUUUUAAAACUCUAGUAGUAACAGGAAACUUCAUAGUAUGAAGAAAUUUUGGAUGAAAAUAAGCCCAAAUGUGAUAAUGAUUUAGGAAAAAGACUGAAAUUAUUUGAGAUUUAUAGUAAUAUUUGAAUAAAUCAUCACUUUCACAGACAGAAUACUUAAAGUAUGUUCAAAGAUGGAGAAGGCUAUCUUGAGGAAAGGUGUGAAUGUCUGUGGAUUAAGAGUUUGGCACUGUAUUUUAUCUUCAAUGGUUAAACUUUUUAACUAGUGCACUGAAAACUGUUUGAAAAAGACAGGAAUAUAAGAUUGUACUGUGAAAACUGUCAAAAUAUAUUAAUUAUUUAUCAGAAGUAAUUUUUUAAAAUGUGUUAGUAAUGGGCUAGCAAGUUCAUUCUUUAUUCCCCAAGAUUAAGGUGGGGGGGGAAGGAAGAACAAAGGAACUGAGGCUGUAAAUUUCAUCUUGGCAGACUGAAAGUGGUUUUUGACAGUCCUGCAUUUUAGUCUGAAUAUGCAGGGAAAGCACUGUCAACUUUUUUUAAUUAUGGGACAAACUCUGACUCUGAAAUUUUGAAUGUAUCUAAUUCAUUAAGGUACACAGAACUGUGCCUUUUGUAAAUGUUUAUUUAAACAGGUGGUUUGACUAGUUUACCUUAUUGAAUGGUGUUAUGUAGCAGAGCUUAACAGAACUCCGUUAUUACUUGUGUGGAAAAGAAUUGAAUUGUCAUGUUACUGUGUAAUUGACUUGCUUAAAAAUGAACAAUAAAUUUAAUAAAAUAAA